rnacentral:tRNA from 1 species
GGCAUCGUAGCUCAACUGGUAGAGCGUUCGCUGUACAAAAGCGUAGGCGGCAUCUGCGCGUGGGUUCGAAUCCCACCGAAGCUA